UUGUAAUUUGGAGAAGGUGCUUCGGGUGCGGCAGCGGUCCAAGUCCCUUGGAACGGGGCGUCAUAGAGGGUGAGAAUCCCGUACGCGGCCGACCGCCAAUCCCGUGUGAAGCCCUUUCGACGAGUCGAGUUGUUUGGGAAUGCAGCUCUAAAUGGGUGGUAAAUUUCAUCUAAAGCUAAAUACCCGCCAGAGACCGAUAGCGCACAAGUAGAGUGAUCGAAAGAUGAAAAGAACUUUGGAAAGAGAGUGAAACAGUACGUGAAAUUGUUGAAAGGGAAGCGCUUGCAACCAGACUCGCUCGCGGGUGCUCAGCCGUCCCACGGGGCGGUGUAUCUCGCCCGCGAUCGGGCCAGCAUCGAUUCUGGCGGCCGGACAAAGGCCCUGGGAACGUAGCUCUCUUCAGGAGUGUUAUAGCCCGGGGUGCAAUGCGGCCAGCCGGGAUCGAGGACCGCG
rnacentral:rRNA from 1 species